CUGGAGGCACCUCGGGGUCCACCUCCCACCCGUGUUUAACGAACCGUGUUGCUUCGGCGCGCCCGCCUCACGGCCGCCGGGGGGCAUCUGCCCCCGGGCCCGCGCCCGCCGAAGCCCCCACGAACGCUGUCUGAAGUAUGCAGUCUGAGACAAUUAUUAAAUUAAUUAAAACUUUCAACAACGGAUCUCUUGGUUCCGGCAUCGAUGAAGAACGCAGCGAAAUGCGAUAACUAAUGUGAAUUGCAGAAUUCAGUGAAUCAUCGAGUCUUUGAACGCACAUUGCGCCCUCUGGUAUUCCGGAGGGCAUGCCUGUCCGAGCGUCAUUGCUGCCCUCCAGCCCGGCUGGUGUGUUGGGCCCCGCCCCCCUUCCCGGGGGGGCGGGCCCGAAAGGCAGCGGCGGCACCGCGUCCGGUCCUCGAGCGUAUGGGGCUUUGUCACCCGCUCUUGUAGGCCCGGCCGGCGCCAGCCGACCCCCAAUCUAUUUUUCAGGUUGACCUCGGAUCAGGUAGGGAUACCCGCUGAACUUAAGCAUAUCAAUAAGCGGAGGAA
rnacentral:rRNA from 1 species